rnacentral:tRNA from 1 species
GCCUGGGUGGCUCAGUUGGUUGAGCAUUUGCCUUCAACUCAAGUCGUGAUCCCUGGGUCAUGGGAUCGAGUCCCAUGUCGGGCU